UUUCGCAAUGCCCGAAAGGGUGACGAAGCGACGCCGCGUGCGGGAAGAAGGCCUUCGGGUUGUAAACCGCUGUCGGGAGUUAAGAAAUGUAAGGAUGUUAAUAGCAUCUCUGCUUGACUAAGGCUCCGGAGGAAGCCACGGCUAACUCUGUGCCAGCAGCCGCGGUAAUACAGAGGCGGCAAGCGUUGUUCGGAAUUAUUGGGCGUAAAGAGCACGUAGGCGGCUAUGUAAGUCGGUUGUGAAAGCCUUCCGCUCAACGGGAGAACAGCAUCCGAUACUGCAUGGCCUGAGUGCGGGAGGGGAGAGUGGAACUUCUGGUGGAGCGGUGAAAUGCGUAGAUAUCAGAAGGAACGCCGGCGGCGAAAGCGGCUCUCUGGCCCAUAACUGACGCUGAGUGUGCGAAAGCUAGGGGAGCAAACGGGAUUAGAUACUCCGGUAGUCCUAGCCGUAAACGAUGGGCACUAAGUAGAGGGGUUUUAAUCUC
rnacentral:rRNA from 1 species